AAGAAAUUAGCUCAGUUGGUAGAGCGAUCGUUUUACACACGAAAGGUCAGGUGUUCAAAUCACCUAUUUCUUA
rnacentral:tRNA from 1 species